UUUUUCUGCCGUGGUUCGUUCACAAGGCGCGACUGUAGGCAGAGGCUCCCUGUUCUGAAGCUGGCUGUCAGCACUCCCCCAACUGCCGUCUCAAGCAGAGAAAGCAAGGGAGGGAAGCUUCCAGGACCAAGCCCUGGUGGGCAGGUAGCAGCCCACCUCCAGUGAGACGGAGAAGUUGGCCGGGGCCAGCAAUGAAGGACCAGCCUGUCUCCUCCCCGAGAACUGAAAGGCAAAAGGCACCCAAGGCUGGGAAGAGAGCAGCAGCCUCACCAAGUAAGGAAGACAAAAUGAAGCAAUCAGUGAGGGUUUCCUGGGUCUACACAGGGAUUGAAGGAGACACUUCUGGGUGAUGCGAGUGCUGCGCAGCUCAGAACCCUUGGAAGCAUGAGAGGAGGACGAGCCCGGCGGCCUGCCGGUGCGGUGAUGGAGGGCUCUUCGGUAGCCACACUGCGCGCCUCCCACACACACCUUAACAGUCUUGGGGCCCCGGGCCAGCGCUGCAGCCCAAAGAGACCCUGCAGCCGCAUUUUCUCCCAGGCCGUGGCAAACCCUGGCUUCGCCUCCCUUCACCAUGGCUUGUGAGGGCAGGAGGCUCCCGGGGGCCGACUUCCCUGACCUGAAUGAGUCAGGCACCCUUCUUUAUUUUAAGUGGGGGUGUGACCUGAGGAGAUAAAGGAAGGACGACAGACCUGGGGAGUGGGGCCCUGCAGCCUCUUGGGCCCGGAGCGCACUCCUUCUCGCUCCCUCCCCUCACCGGCAGGAUCGGGGGUCUUGAAACUGGAGCCGCUCACCGGCCGGCGGAUGAGAGAUAAAGGAGCCCGGCGGCGCCGAAGCGCUGACCAGCAGACCCGGAUCCGGACUUUCC
rnacentral:lncRNA from 1 species